rnacentral:rRNA from 1 species
UACGUAGGGGGCAAGCGUUGUCCGGAUUUAUUGGGCGUAAAGAGCGUGUAGGCGGUUGGGUAGGUCCGUUGUGAAAACUCGAGGCUCAACCUCGAGACGCCGAUGGAAACCCCCCAGCUAGAGUCCGGAAGGGGAGAGUGGAAUUCCUGGUGUAGCGGUGAAAUGCGCAGAUAUCAGGAAGAACACCCGUGGCUAAGGCGGCUCUCUAGUACGGUACUGACGCUGAGACGCGAAAGCGUGGGGAGCGAACAGG